rnacentral:tRNA from 1 species
GGCGGUAUGGCUUAGCGGUCUAUAGCGAUCGGUUCAUACCCGAUAGGUCGGUGGUUCAAAUCCACCUACCGCCACCA